rnacentral:lncRNA from 1 species
GUUUCAGAAUCACUGGACCAUUAGACCACAUCAGCACUGGACCCAGCUAAAGGGCAGAGAUUCAGAGAUCCCCAACUGUGACUAGUUGUGCAAGAAGCAUGCAGAAUGAUGAGAAACCUACAGCUCAGAAAAGAAACAAAUCGUCUAUAUGGAAGUCCAGUCUUGCUGUGGAAAGGCUCAGAAAAACAAGACCCUUAGCAUAUCUCAGGGAACUGAAAGGCUGUGGGGAAACCAACAGCUUGCUGCAACCACAGCCACAAGUCAGUGUUCCAGCCAUAUACCCUCGGUUCUUUCCAAGACAUCGCUGAAUCAAAAUCCAAAGCAGGUAUUCCCAAGGUGGAAUGACUGUGGCUCUGUGCCAUCUCGAAAUCUACUGGUCUCUAAGCACAAACGAACAUUCUCUUAAACUAAUGAAAUGAGUGGCAGGCAGCGUGUGCAGAGCACCAGCAAAGGCUCAGAGGGAUGCCCACAGAGUUCCACCGCAACCGUGCACAGAGGAGGAGGAGAAUGCUCCCUACAGGAUGAGAAGAGCCACCAGUGGGGCGCAUUCACAGAGAAACGGUCACAUGAUGAGGCAGCAAGAAGGCAAAAAUUGCGAGCCAACAAGAGAGGCCUCAGAAGAAUCCAACCCUGGUGCCGCCUUCAUUUUAAACUUCCAACAACCCCAGAACUGUGGAAAAAAAUUCUAUUUUUUGUCUGUGGUAUUUUGUUAUGGCAACCCUAGCAAACUAAUACACUGAGCAAACUAAUACAUUAAACAGAAUAUUAAAACGAACAAAACAUACUGUUAUUUUUAGUAUGUGCUAUAGUCUGUAUCUAUUUAUUAUCAUUAAGCUUUUAAAAAUUCUAUGCACACAACAAUUUUGUAGUUAUAGUGUUUUGGGGAAUAAAAGGGAAAAGAUGUUUGAG